GUUUGAUCCUGGCUCAGAACGAACGUUAGCGGCGCGCCUAACACAUGCAAGUCGAGCGAGAAAGGGCUUCGGCCCCGGUAAAGCGGCGCACGGGUGAGUAACACGUAGGUAAUCUGCCCCCGGGUGGUGGAUAACGUUCCGAAAGGAGCGCUAAUACAGCAUGAGACCACGGUUCCGAGAGGGACUGAGGUCAAAGCCGGCCUCUUCACGAAAGCUGGCGCCUGGGGAUGAGCCUGCGGCCCAUCAGCUAGUUGGUAGGGUAACGGCCUACCAAGGCGAAGACGGGUAGCUGGUCUGAGAGGAUGAUCAGCCACACUGGAACUGAGACACGGUCCAGACUCCUACGGGAGGCAUCAGUGGGGAAUCUUGCGCAAUGGGUGAAAGCCUGACGCAGCGACGCCGCGUGAGUGAUGAAGGCC
rnacentral:rRNA from 1 species